AGAUGAUUGGAUGAGUUUGAUGAUGUGGUGGGCCAUGACAAGGAGGAAGUUUAUAGUGUCGUAUUUGCACCACAUCAUCAGUAACAAGCUAAUUAUAUUUAUCAUAUUUGUUACGACAUAGGCACAAACGGAAACGAAAAUGACGAAUACGAAAUAAUCAAACCACGUAGCAGAAAUAAAAGAGAACACACAGAUUUACGUGAAAAACCUUUUUGUAAGAAAAAAUCACGAACAAGAAAGAAGAGAACUUCACUAUCGAAAAAGAGAAAAUACAAUGUUCGAGUACAACCAACUACGAUCUGUCGCCUCUAGGGCAAAAACGAAAAGGAAACUCUUAACAGGUUUCGGAUCUGUCGGCCCGAGCCCUCCGCUACCCACCACAGACAUUCGUUUUUCCUUCACAAUUUUAUUUUCUAAUUUGGUCGCACCGCGAAACUGUCGGCGAGUCCAAAUUUCGAACUGAAGUCGAUUAUCAAUUUCGAGUCACAUCUAACGAUAUUUCUCUUUUUCUUAAAAAAAGUACAAUAAAAAUAUUUUGUUUAUUUACAAUGAUGAGACGGGUGAACUUAAGGGCGAUAAUUCUAUUGGUUGGAGACGCCACGUCAGCAAUAUAACUAAUACAUUCUAGAAUUUUUCCAUGACAAGGACAUAAGAAAGAGAAAUUAUUGCAUGCG
rnacentral:lncRNA from 1 species